rnacentral:tRNA from 1 species
GGUUAGCUUAGUCGGUAGAGCGCUCCACUGGAAAUGGAGAGGUCCCUGGUUCGAGCUUGCCCG